UCCUCAGCAGUCUGCUGGGUUUUCUCACUACCUGAUAUCCUGCAGUUUAAACUAUACCAUACAUUCACACAAAGUAGCUGAACACAUAUUUUCCUUGGGAAACACCAAGCAGAGUUAUGGUGCCCAGUGCCACUGGGGAGAUGAGCUUCAGGCAGCCACUCAGACUUUGCUGCUAACCCUGCAGAGCAUUUGAUAACCAUUUCCAUGGGAACAAGCACAUAAAGACACCUCAGCUUCUAAUUCUUGGAUCUGGUGAAUUAAUCAACAAUUACCUUAAGCAGGACUCACAUAGGACUUGGAGAAGAAAGGUGUCCUGACUGGCAUGUUCAGUGCUGGUACCCACCCUGGCCUCCAGCUUCUGGAGUUGCUUCUUGCCUCCCUUCAGAGCCAACUGCUCGGCCUCUUCCAGACGGUGCUGCA